rnacentral:lncRNA from 1 species
UCUAAGCUGUGAGUAGUAAUUUGCAGCAUGAUGGUGAGGUGAAAUGACAGAGGCUCAUGGCAUGUCGUUGCAGAAUAUCCACUAGACUUUCACAAGUCACCAGUCAUGGAUUUCAGGAUCUGACUCUUGUCAUCUUGGGAGACGUCAGGAUCUGACUGCUCGUCUUCACGGGAGACGUCAGGAUCUGAAUGCUUGUCUUCAUGGGAGAGUCAGGUCAUUUCUCGUGGUGACUGGAGAAAGCUCUCUACAGAAACGCCUGUCAUCCAUGCCUUCACCUACGCGAGAGCAUCCUCUGCUCCCUAGACCACACCAGGACAGUUCUGCACGGACCUAAGGAGCUCACAGCCCAGCCCCCUCCCCGGGGAAAUCUCUGCACUCCGGACUGGUAAUUUCCAGGGCAUGGUCUGCCUUUCUCAGCUUCGUGGGAAGCACCUUUGGUUCAGCCUCGCUGGUGAGGGUGGAGGCUGCCUCCCGUCCCCUCCUUGUUCACCAGCAGGCGUCAGCAGGGCUGCUAUUGGACCCCUUUAGACCAAGGCGCAACCUGGCUCCUCUGUUCUCAACAGGAUCAGAAAUGUCACGCAGGUCGUAUCUGGAGUGGUUCUCUUUUUCCCUUUUGUGGAGGGUUAGAGUGGUAUUCACACCUAGGCACGUCUACGUCUGAAAUCUGUGAUAGACUGAAUGUGUCUCCCUCCCAAAUUCAAGUGCUAACCCUCGGACCCCAGAAUGUGAUUGCAUUUGGAGACAGGGCCUUUAAGGAGGUGAUCGAGUUAAAUGAGGUCAUAUGUGUCCCCUAAUCCAUCGUGACUGGUCCUUAUUAGAGGAGAUGAGGACACUGACACAUGGGACGACGGCCACAGGAGGACACAGGGGAAGACGGCUGUCUACACAGCAAGGAGAGAGUCUGCAGGGGACACCAGUCCCGCCAAUACCUUGACCCUGGACUUCCAGCCUCCAGGACUGAGAGAGAACAGCUGAACAGAUUCAGAGGUCCACUACGUGGCACGUAGCAGCCAUUCAUUCACUCACUGUGCCUGCUCCCUUGAGCCUGGCUGUAAUCUGGCUGAUAACAUUCAUUCAUUCAUUCAUUCAUUCAUUCAUCAGGUAUUUCCUGUGGGCCUACCAUGUGCCAGGCAUGGGCUAGGUUGGUUCUGGGGUAAAAAUGGUCCUUUGCCCAAGCUACUGAUGGAAUCACAGAGACGAUGGGGAAAAUCAGUGAGUAAACAAGCUGAAGACGGAAGGCAGAGACUCGGAGCAGAGCCCGACCAUUCUGCUGGUGUGGGGAGAGGGUGGAAGCCUUGUCCAGGGAGGUGGAGAGGCCACAGCAGGAGAAGCAUGCCCAGGCUGAGACCAGAAGGAUGAGAGGGACCAGAAGGAGGAAGAGCUGGACUGGGACAGGGUGAGGUUGUGGUCGGCUUAAGUGGCUGCCAGUGGCUCAGUUCAUCUGCAGAAAGCAGCAGGGAGAAGGGUGAAAGGAGACUGGGGAUGGAGAAUCAGGGCCACCCCUUACAACCCUGUCUUAGGGUGUGGCCUUGGUCCACGGGGAGCAGGAAGUCAGGAGCGGUGUCAGGCAGGAGGGCAGUGGGCGUAGGUUCCUUGUGACCUGUGAGCAGAGAGGGGCUGAAAGCCGGGCCUGGUCCAUGCUAAGGGGUGCGAAGGGGAGAGCAUUUUCCACCAGGGCUCAGGUGGUGUCAUCAGGGAUGGGGCAGGGGCAGCGGCAGGGCCCUGAGAGCUGUGCCACUUCGUGAUGCCACUGCGACCCUUGCCACUGUGUUUCAGGGGUGCAAUGCUGCAGGUGAAAUUGAUGCAGACCCAGGCUUCAGACCUGUUCUCCUAGACUGCAGUGGUGCGAUGACAGCUCACUGCAGCCUUGACCUCUGGGUUCAAGAGAUCCUCCUGCCUCAGCCUCCCAAGUAGCUGGCACACGCCACCACACCUGGCUAUUUUCUUUUAAUUUUUUAUUUGUUUGUAGGGACAGGGUCUCACCAUGUUGCCCAGGCUGGUCUCCAACUCCUGGGCUCAAGCGAAUCUCCCACUUCAGCCUCCCACAGUGCUGGGAUUACAGGUGUGAGCCACCAUGCCUGGCCUAGUUUGGGUAACUUUGAGUCACCUGAAGAGUCAGCCUCAGCCCCAGAGGGUUCUCCCUUCCCCAGGGUGCUGUGUUUGCAUGGGAGCACAGAACCAUUGCCCCUGCAGGGCUUUUCAGUGGAACCGAGUGUCCCCACACGAGCUUUGUCUCCGGAUGCACACGAGGAGAUUCUGCAGCACAGUGGAGCCGAUUAAGCCAUUACAGCUUUCCAGAGGGAAAAGAAAAUUUAGGACGUGUAGAAACUAAGUCUUUGCCCACAAUCAAGUUUCCAUUCAAAUUAUGAGAAGGAAGUGAUUGAAUGAGAAUGAGAUGACCUUCCCCUUCCCCCAUGGAUUUUCCUCCCUCUGGCUCUCUCUGCUCCUGACACGAGCACUGCACCAAGGCGACAGCCCUGGGCACCCAGGCUGACUCCUGCACUCGGGCACGGACCUCACGGCUGGGCUGACUCCCGCACUCGGGCGCUGAGCUCAUGGCCGGUUCUGAAGAACUCUGGUUCUGCUCAUGCCCCACAUCAAAAUGGCCAAGUCUUCAGAUUUGGGAUUUCCCAAGCCAAAAGUAUUUUCAUAGAAUUGUAUUUCAAUAUUUACAUUAUCUUUAAAGAAAGUCCAGCUAAAAAUCAAAAAUAAAUAAAAAUGUAAAAAAUAAAACAAUCCCAGAGAGAAGUGGGGUCUACUUGAAUGCAAUGCAACAUGAAGUGGACAUCU